rnacentral:rRNA from 1 species
GAUUUCUGACGAAACUGCUAGCUGGCCCGCCACGUCAGUGUGUGAGUGCCGGCUUGGCGUUUGUCAUCCGUUCGAAUGAUGUGUGUGCUGCCCUUCACUGGGUGUGUGUCACAUGUUUUCGAUCUUUUACUUUGAAAAAAUUAGAGUGUUUCAAGCAGGCAUUUUUGCUAUGAAUACAUUAGCAUGGAAUAAUAAUCUAGGACUUUCGGUUCUAUUUUGUUGGUGUUCUGGAGCUGAAGUAAUGAUUGAUAGGGAUAGUUGGGGGUGCUAGUAUUCAAUGGCCAGAGGUGAAAUUCUCGGAUUCCUUGAAGACUAACUUAUGCGAAAGCAUU